rnacentral:rRNA from 1 species
UGCGCCAAGGAAAACCGAACGAAGCAUCCGCCCCCGGCAUCCCGUUCGCGGAGCGUGCCGCGGGAUCGGGCGUCUAUCAAAUGUCAAAACGACUCUCGGCAACGGAUAUCUCGGCUCUCGCAUCGAUGAAGAACGUAGCGAAAUGCGAUACUUGGUGUGAAUUGCAGAAUCCCGUGAACCAUCGAGUCUUUGAACGCAAGUUGCGCCCGAAGCCAUUAGGCCGAGGGCACGUCUGCCUGGGCGUCACGC